rnacentral:tRNA from 1 species
GCCUGGCAGGCUCAGUCAGUAGAGCAUGAGACUUUUGAUCUCAGGGUCAUGAGUUCAAGCCCCACAUUGGGUG